GCCUGGAUAGCUCAGUUGGUUAGAUUGUAGUAUUAACAAUGGCAAGGUUGCAGGUUUGAUCCCUGCAUUGGGAUCU